CGGACGGGUGAGUAAUGUCUGGGAAACUGCCUGAUGGAGGGGGAUAACUACUGGAAACGGUAGCUAAUACCGCAUAACGUCGCAAGACCAAAGAGGGGGACCUUCGGGCCUCUUGCCAUCGGAUGUGCCCAGAUGGGAUUGGCUAGUAGGUGGGGUAACGGCUCACCUAGGCGACGAUCCCUAGCUGGUCUGAGAGGAUGACCAGCCACACUGGAACUGAGACACGGUCCAG
rnacentral:rRNA from 1 species